GGGGUGUGUGUGUCUCCUAACAUCUACACCUCCCAGGAUUCUUUGUGGGGAGCCAAGACAGUUAAAGUGAUAGGACCGUGCUUUAAAUGCAUGGUGCAGGUGAGCUCCAUGUAUUUCCCUGCCUGCUUUCAAUAACGUGUUCACUUGCUUUGUUUAUUUGGAAGGCUUUGACGCAGCCUGAAGUUGAAUGGCUCCUCCAUGAGCUGUCGCUGAGAGAACGCAGCCCUUAUAGCACUCGGUGACAGCUGGAUCACUUAGCACUUUAAUCAGAAUCCAAGUGGUUGCCGUAACGACUAUUUGACCUUCUGUAUCAUAAAAACAAAACAAAAACCCACUUGGGUUUUUCUUCUUUUCUUCAUUGGUGCAUUAUUAUAUAAGUCCACCUUGGAAGGCAGGACAAUUCUGGCCCUUCUUCAUGUUCUCUCUCUCUCUCCCCUCACCCCCGCCUGGUGUUGUUCUUCUGGCAUCCACAUUUUGGUGUGCGCAGCUCAUCAGCGAUAUCUGAUCUUGCAGUAGGGAACGCUCAGUCGCAAAAGUAUGUGCUCAGUCUGAAAUUAAAGCUCAAUUUAGUUUAAUUGUCCUUGAUUUUAUCAAGUGCAUCAAACGACUCAUUCCAUAUGCAAAAAUAAAUGCAGAGGAAAAACAACUAAAAAUGCCUCCAUCUUAAGAAUAAACUGCACUAUCAAGUGUCACCAUCAGCCCUGUGUUAUUUUGGUUGCUGCUCUCAAAUCCAGUCAUAUGGCAGCUGUUGUUGUUUUUUUCUGUUGGGGGGGGGAAGGACUGUGUUCAAUUCACGACCAUUCAACAAGGAAAAGAUCAAUUGUAAGAAAUCCUCAUACUGGCCUCAGGUGACCUGUGAAUAGGGCUAGACAAGUCUGUCAAAUUCAGUUUCUCUCAGUGUCUGGUUUUGCCAGUCUCAGGCCCUCUGCAUUUCCACAUCAGUAUUCAUUAAAAAAAUAAAUAAAUAAAUAAAUAAAUAAAUAAAUACAGAGCUCCUCAUGAAAAUUCACCGGCAUUUAGAGUGAAUGUCUCCUAUUAUACACAUUCUACAUAUGUAUUUUUAUGCAUACUUCAAGCUAGCAUAUGCGUUUUUGUACACACUGCUUCGCUUUUGAGCUGGAUGACCAAUGGCCUGGCUCAGUGCAAGGAAGCUGCCUAUGUUCCAGAGAGAAGCAGCUCCGCAAAAUCCCAAAUGCUCCCCAUUUGCUCCUCUUCAAGUUCUGAAUGCCCUCUGAAAUUUGUUAAAUUGCCACCAGGGUGGAGCAAAUUGCCCCAGUUGAGAAUCACUGGUCUAGGUAGACAAUGCUGACCUAGACAAACCAAUGGUCUGGCUUUGCAUAAGGCAACUCCCUGUGUUACUACUAGCAAUUGCCACAGUGAGACAAUUAGUUACCUAGACCUGUCAGUUAACACAGACAUAAAAAGAACUCACUGAAAUAGCAGAGGUAGUGAGAAUAGCAGGUUGUAGGAUUUCAGCCAAAAUUCAUCAUACUCUUAACAAAUUUGUUCCCCGACACCACAGACCCAUCUUGUAUGACUUGUGAGCAGCCUUCCUUCACGGGUUUCUUGCGGUAUAAACUUUAUUGUCGUUUUUCCUUGUUUGCUUUUUGAUUGGCAGGUUGCCUUAUUGCACAAUGGCCCCCAGCGUGCUUGUUUCCCAUCGGAUGGUAACUGAGGCCUUCCGGCAAAGGGUCGCCUGCUUUUGUUCGCACGAGUAGCAAAUUAAAUUUUCCCCUCCUGCCAUGUAGCACAGAGCUGAAUGCCAGUCCAAUGAGUCAUCAAACUUCACCUACUGUCAAGUAUGCCACCGAAACUUGUUGAUGGCAGAAGCUGAGCUAGAGUCUGUCAGAGCAGAAGCGCAGUUGAGAAACGACUUCCUUUCCUUUUCGUUUUCAAAACCCCUGUCCAUACAUAGAGAUUUCCACAAAGCAUGAAACCACUGCUAAACUGUUUUUGUCUCUUGGUCGAGAAGAAUAAUUUAGCCCACUUCCUUUUUAUCACACCUGCAUCCCUUGAAAUGUGCCAUGUGAGCCCUCCCUCCCUCUCUGCUGCUCAGUGGCUCGGAAGAUUGAGAGCUUCCCUGUUCUUUGGACUAUCAAAUACACUUGAUUUGCCCAAGAGCAUCUUGGCAAGGAAGUCAAACAAAGGCGGUCAUGCUGAAAAUGAAGUCUCUGAAACAGUGAAUAUGGAUUAAUUUAAUGUUGCGGCCACCGUCGCUCACCCUGUUGAAAUCUGGGACCCUAUGCCGCCCAGGAGGGCAUGGGAGGGAACACUUUGUGCAGCUAUUCCCUUCAUAACAUUGCACCGAGAAAUAAAACACACUGUGC